rnacentral:rRNA from 1 species
GGGAAACUGGGUCUAAUACCGGAUAUGACUGAUCAUCGCAUGGUGGUUGGUGGAAAGCUUUUUGUGGUUUUGGAUGGACUCGCGGCCUAUCAGCUUGUUGGUGAGGUAAUGGCUUACCAAGGCGACGACGGGUAGCCGGCCUGAGAGGGUGACCGGCCACACUGGGWCUGAGACACGGCCCAGACUCCUACGGGAGGCAGCAGUGGGGAAUAUUGCACAAUGGGCGAAAGCCUGAUGCAGYGACGCCGCGUGAGGGAUGACAGGCCUUCGGGUUGUAAACCUCUUUCAGUAGGGAAGAAGCGAAAGUGACGGUACCUGCAGAAGAAGCGCCGGCUAACUACGUGCCAGCAGCCGCGGUAAUACGUAGGGCGCAAGCGUUAUCCGGAAUUAUUGGGCGUAAAGAGCUCGUAGGCGGUUUGUCGCGUCUGCCGUGAAAGUCCGGGGCUCAACUCCGGAUCUGCGGUGGGUACGGGCAGACUAGAGUGAUGUAGGGGAGACUGGAAUUUCUGGUGUAGCGGUGAAAUGCGCAGAUAUCAGGAGGAACACCGAUGGCGAAGGCAGGUCUCUGGGCAUUAACUGACGCUGAGGAGCGAAAGCAUGGGGAGCGAACAGGAUUAGAUACCCUGGUAGUCCAUGCCGUAAACGUUGGGCACUAGGUGUGGGGGACAUUCCACGUUUUCCGCGCCGUAGCUAACGCAUUAAGUGCCCCGCCUGGGGAGUACGGCCGCAAGGCUAAAACUCAAAGGAAUUGACGGGGGCCCGCACAAGCGGCGGAGCAUGCGGAUUAAUUCGAUGCAACGCGAAGAACCUUACCAAGGCUUGACAUGAACCGGAAAGACCUGGAAACAGGUGCCCCGCUUGCGGUCGGUUUACAGGUGGUGCAUGGUUGUCGUCAGCUCGUGUCGUGAGAUGUUGGGUUAAGUCCCGCAACGAGCGCAACCCUCGUUCUAUGUUGCCAGCACGUGAUGGUGGG